rnacentral:rRNA from 1 species
UACGUAGGGGGCAAGCGUUGUCCGGAAUCAUUGGGCGUAAAGCGCGUGUAGGCGGCCCGGUAAGUCCGCUGUGAAAGUCCAGGGCUCAACCCUGGGAUGCCGGUGGAUACUGUCGGGCUCGAGUCCGGAAGAGGCGAGUGGAAUUCCUGGUGUAGCGGUGAAAUGCGCAGAUAUCAGGAGGAACACCGAUGGCGAAGGCGGCCCUCUGGCUCGACCCUGACGCUGAGAGGCGAAAGCGUGGGGAGCGAACGGG